rnacentral:misc_RNA from 1 species
GGAAUCUCUAUCAAUUUCCACCACCUCCCAUAGGUCAAAAGCUUGUAAAUAGGCUUUUAUUUUAACUAACUAAACAUAAUAGUUUUCUCCUAAAAAUACAGGUAGUGAGGGGGCUCUAAUACCAAUUGUUAUUUUUAGGCGUAAAACACAUAACAAAGAAAAGAAGAAGAAACAACACAAGAAAAGUUAUGGAUAUUCCUUACAUUGAACUGAUUACUUAAAAAAAAAAAAAACUUACAUCGACAAAUGACAUCACCUUAGCCAUUAUUUUCAAACAUGCCUCUCCUGGCUUUUUCUAGAUUUAAACUGCACUACAAGUUUACAAGUUCUAGAUAUAACCAUAUUUUUCUUAAUCACAUGCUCAUGCUAGGAUUACAUUUUCUAAAUAAAAAUAUCAUCAUAAUAUUGAUAAACUGAUAGCAAAAGUGUCACCGCUCCUUCACAGAAACUUUGUAUUUC